rnacentral:rRNA from 1 species
GAUGAACGCUAGCUACAGGCUUAACACAUGCAAGUCGCGGGGCAGCAUGGGGGUUGCUUGCAACCCCUGAUGGCGACCGGCGCACGGGUGAGUAACGCGUAUCCAACCUGCCCUUCACCACGGGAUAACCCGGCGAAAGUCGGACUAAUACCGUAUGUUGUCCAUUGACGGCAUCCGAUUUGGACGAAAGGCUUGGCGGUGAAGGGAUGGGGAUGCGUCCGAUUAGCUUGACGGCGGGGUAACGGCCCACCGUGGCUACGAUCGGUAGGGGUUCUGAGAGGAAGGUCCCCCACACUGGAACUGAGACACGGUCCAGACUCCUACGGGAGGCAGCAGUGAGGAAUAUUGGUCAAUGGGCGUAAGCCUGAACCAGCCAAGUAGCGUGCAGGAGGACGGCCCUAUGGGUUGUAAACUGCUUUUAUGCGGGGAUAAAGUGGCCCACGUGUGGGCUUUUGCAGGUACCGCAUGAAUAAGGACCGGCUAAUUCCGUG